CAGUAUCCGCGGUAAUACAGAGGGUGCGAGCGUUAAUCGGAUUUACUGGGCGUAAAGCGUGCGUAGGCGGCUAAUUGAGUCGGAUGUGAAAUCCCCGAGCUUAACUUGGGAAUUGCAUUCGAUACUGGUUAGCUAGAGUGUGGGAGAGGAUGGUAGAAUUCCAGGUGUAGCGGUGAAAUGCGUAGAGAUCUGGAGGAAUACCGAUGGCGAAGGCAGCCAUCUGGCCUAAUACUGACGCUGAGGUACGAAAGCAUGGGGAGCAAACAGGAUUAGAUACCCGUGUAGUCCCUGUCUCUUAUAC
rnacentral:rRNA from 1 species